rnacentral:rRNA from 2 species
AUUGAUUGAUGGUGCUUGCACCUGAUUGAUUUUGGUCGCCAACGAGUGGCGGACGGGUGAGUAACACGUAGGUAACCUGCCCAGAAGCGGGGGACAACAUUUGGAAACAGAUGCUAAUACCGCAUAACAACGUUGUUCGCAUGAACAACGCUUAAAAGAUGGCUUCUCGCUAUCACUUCUGGAUGGACCUGCGGUGCAUUAGCUUGUUGGUGGGGUAAUGGCCUACCAAGGCGAUGAUGCAUAGCCGAGUUGAGAGACUGAUCGGCCACAAUGGGACUGAGACACGGCCCAUACUCCUACGGGAGGCAGCAGUAGGGAAUCUUCCACAAUGGGCGCAAGCCUGAUGGAGCAACACCGCGUGAGUGAAGAAGGGUUUCGGCUCGUAAAGCUCUGUUGUUAAAGAAGAACACGUAUGAGAGUAACUGUUCAUACGUUGACGGUAUUUAACCAGAAAGUCACGGCUAACUACGUGCCAGCAGCCGCGGUAAUACGUAGGUGGCAAGCGUUAUCCGGAUUUAUUGGGCGUAAAGAGAGUGCAGGCGGUUUUCUAAGUCUGAUGUGAAAGCCUUCGGCUUAACCGGAGAAGUGCAUCGGAAACUGGAUAACUUGAGUGCAGAAGAGGGUAGUGGAACUCCAUGUGUAGCGGUGGAAUGCGUAGAUAUAUGGAAGAACACCAGUGGCGAAGGCGGCUACCUGGUCUGCAACUGACGCUGAGACUCGAAAGCAUGGGUAGCGAACAGGAUUAGAUACCCUGGUAGUCCAUGCCGUAAACGAUGAGUGCUAGGU